rnacentral:rRNA from 1 species
AACGAACGCUGGCGGCAUGCCUAACACAUGCAAGUCGAACGAGACCUUCGGGUCUAGUGGCGCACGGGUGCGUAACGCGUGGGAACCUGCCCUUAGGUUCGGAAUAACUCCCCGAAAGGGGUGCUAAUACCGGAUAAUGUCUUCGGACCAAAGAUUUAUCGCCUUUGGAUGGGCCCGCGUUGGAUUAGCUAGUUGGUAGGGUAAAAGCCUACCAAGGCGACGAUGCAUAGCUGGUCUGAGAGGAUGAUCAGCCACACUGGGACUGAGACACGGCCCAGACUCCUACGGGAGGCAGCAGUGGGGAAUAUUAGACGAUGGGCGAAAGCCUGAUCCAGCCAUGCCGCGUGAGUGAUGAAGGCCUUAGGGUUGUAAAGCUCUUUUACCCGAGAUGAUAAUGACGGUACCGGGAGAAGAAUCACCGGCUAACUCCGUG